rnacentral:rRNA from 1 species
GAUGAACGCUGGCGGCGUGCCUAAUACAUGCAAGUCGAGCGAACAGACGAGGAGCUUGCUCCUCUGACGUUAGCGGCGGACGGGUGAGUAACACGUGGAUAACCUACCUAUAAGACUGGGAUAACUUCGGGAAACCGGAGCUAAUACCGGAUAAUAUAUUGAACCGCAUGGUUCAAUAUGAAAGACGGUUUUGCUGUCACUUAUAGAUGGAUCCGCGCCGCAUUAGCUAGUUGGUAAGGUAACGGCUUACCAAGGCAACGAUGCGUAGCCGACCUGAGAGGGUGAUCGGCCACACUGGAACUGAGACACGGUCCAGACUCCUACGGGAGGCAGCAGUAGGGAAUCUUCCGCAAUGGGCGAAAGCUUGACGGAGCAACGCCGCGUGAGUGAUGAAGGUCUUCGGAUCGUAAAACUCUGUUAUUAGGGAAGAACAAAUGUGUAAGUAACUAUGCACGUCUUGACGGUACCUAAUCAGAAAGCCACGGCUAACUACGUG